GUUAGUACAGUGGUGAACCUAUAGGUCUUCAGUGUGUGACAGGUUAGUACAGUGGUGAACCUAUAGGCCUUCAGUGUGUGACAGGUUAGUACAGUGGUGAACCUAUAGGCCUUCAGUGUGUGACAGGUUAGUACAGUGGUGAACCUAUAGGCCUUCAGUGUGUGACAGGUUAGUACAGUGGUGAACCUAUAGGCCUUCAGUGUGUGACAGGUUAGUACAGUGGUGAACCUAUAGGCCUUCAGUGUGUGACAGGUUAGUACAGUGGUGAACCUAUAGGUCUUUAGUGUGUGACAGGUUAGUACAGUGGUGAACCUAUAGGUCUUUAGUGUGUGACAGGUUAGUACAGUGGUGAACCUAUAGGUCUUCAGUGUGUGACAGGUUAGUACAGUGGUGAACCUAUAGGUCUUCAGUGUGUGA